GGCGGAGCCUCCGCAGCCAGCCUCCAGGCCGCGUCCCCCGAGCUCCGGGGCUGCCUGGCGGCGGCCGCCUCCACCGCGGUCUCCUGCGCGCAGCCCCUGCGCGCUGCCCGGGCUGAGGCUGCGAGAGGAAAGAGUGGGCCGUAGGAGAGGGAAAAUUGCAAACCUCACUUGCAGCUGGACAGCAUAGUUCCUUGGAGUCAAGACUCAACACCGGGUUAUUUCCAAACAUGAAAUCUUGAAAGUCCACUGGGAGGUUGCAGCAGGAGGGCAGAGAUGUCCAUCUACUUGGAUAUGAAAAAUGCUCUUCCUCUAGGAAGGGCUUCCUCUUCAGCUAAGGCUCCAGAAUCACAGAGGCAAAUGGGCCCCUUUCUGACCAACCUCAUCGGAAUGAAUAAAAUAGGCUCUUUUUCUGCAAGAAAUGAAGUAGCCCAGUGCGGCCAGAUCAUCAUCUUCUGCUGGAGUCACCCUGCCAGGGCUUGUACCUGUGUGAGGGUCAGGUCCAGUCCAGUGCACCUAGAGGGGGCGCUGAAGUGCUCCCCAGCCUUCACUCACCAAGCAGUCAGGGUGCAUCAGGCGUCACUGUGGCCACCCAGAGGAUAUGGCUCCUUCUUCUAAUCUGCAGCCAGGCACCUUGUGUGGGCAAAUGCCAGUAAUGACUGGCUGUCCCACCCCAUUCCCUAAUCCUGACCAGCGUUAUCAUCCUGACUUUGGGUGAAUUAACAGUUCUCAUGUACUAAUUGUGUUUAAUGUAAAAGAUGAAAUAUUUUAUCUAAAUUUUAAUUGAUUUUUAUGGAUGAAAAUAAAAAUAUUACCAUUUAUGACAUA